rnacentral:ncRNA from 1 species
AACGAUAACGGCAAACCUGUCGAAAGACUGGGACGCAAAGCUAAAGGGCCUUGUAUACAUGGCAGCCAGCUACCGAAA